UAGAAAGAUUGGGAAAUUAUAUCAAACAAUUUAUUUAUUAAAUUUAGAAUGAUACCUAACUCUGUAAGUGGGCCGUGUACAACAGAAAGUUUAAUGACAAUAUUUGAUCUGUUUCAACUAGAUUUGUAAGUUAAAAAUAAAAGUAAAAGCCAAGAUGAGAAAUUAGCAGAGAACUUUGAUCUCCUGGUACUUUUAGAGCUUCUAAGCCAUUCCUUCUUGUUUCCUAGUCUGUAAUGACAAUUCAGAAAUCAAUAUUACAUUGUAUACUUUCAAGUCCUGUCAGAAAGCAAUUUGUUUCACUGGAGUUCUCCAAC